rnacentral:rRNA from 1 species
UACGGGAGGCAGCAGUGGGGAAUCUGCGCAAUGGCCGCAAGGCUGACGCAGCGACGCCGCGUGGGGGAGGAAGGCCUUCGGGUUGUAAACCCCUGUUGCCCGGGACGAACGAGCGGUUUCGACCGCUGUGACGGUACCGGGUGAGGAAGCACCGGCUAACUCCGUGCCAGCAGCCGCGGUAAUACGGAGGGUGCGAGCGUUGUCCGGAAUCACUGGGCGUAAAGGGCGCGUAGGCGGCCUCUUAAGCGUGCGGUGAAAGCCCGGGGCUCAACCCCGGGUCGGCCGUGCGAACUGGGGGGCUGGAACACCACA